UACGGAGGAUGCGAGCGUUAUCCGGAUUUAUUGGGUUUAAAGGGUGCGUAGGCGGACUGUUAAGUCAGCGGUAAAAGCCCGGGGCUCAACCCCGGCGAGCCGUUGAAACUGGCUGUCUUGAGAUGUCGAGAGGUAUGCGGAAUGCGCAGUGUAGCGGUGAAAUGCUUAGAUAUUGCGCAGAACUCCGAUUGCGAAGGCAGCAUACCGGCGGCGAUCUGACGCUGAGGCACGAAAGCGUUGGUAUCGAACAGG
rnacentral:rRNA from 1 species